GACAGAGGGUGCAAACGUUGUUCGGAAUUACUGGGCGUAAAGCGCGUGUAGGCGGCCAUCUAAGUCGGGCGUGAAAUCCCACGGCUCAACCGUGGAAGUGCGUCUGAUACUGGAUGGCUCGAGUUCGGGAGAGGGAAGUGGAAUUCCAGGUGUAGCGGUGAAAUGCGUAGAUAUCUGGAGGAACACCGGUGGCGAAGGCGGCUUCCUGGACCGACACUGACGCUGAGGCGCGAAAGCCAGGGGAGCAAACGGG
rnacentral:rRNA from 1 species